rnacentral:tRNA from 1 species
ACGGCUGUGGUCUAGUGGUAGGACACGACCCUCCCAAGGUCGUAGCCCGGGUUCAAAUCCCGGCAGCCGUA